AGCUGAGGACCUCACGCCUGUAAUCCCGCCACUUUGGGAGGCUGAGGCGGGUGGAUCACGAGAUUGGGCAGAACUGACAGCUUCUUGGUGAGAAAUAGGAGUGAUGACCAUAGCUGUCUCUUCAUCUUAUUCCUGCUUCCUCCUGGCCCAGAUCCAAGCUAAGAAUACACUUCAUGGUGCUACCAGAAUGACAUGGCUUCCUUUGCC
rnacentral:lncRNA from 10 species